rnacentral:rRNA from 1 species
UAGUCAUAUGCUUGUCUUAAAGACUAAGCCAUGCAUGUCUAAGUAUAAAUAGUAUACAGUGAAACUGCGAAUGGCUCAUUAAAACAGUUAUAGUUUAUUUGAUAUUGGAACACUACAUGGAUAACCGUGGUAAUUCUACAGCUAAUACAUGCGAAAAAGCCUGACUCACGAAGGGCUGUAUUUAUUAGAUAUUAAGCCAAUAUUCCGCAAGGUCUAUUGUGGUGAAUCAUAGUAACUGAUCGAAUCCCUUUUAGGGAUAAAUCAUUCAAGUUUCUGCCCUAUCAGCUUUCGAUGGUAGUGUAUUGGACUACCAUGGCAGUCACGGGUAACGGAGAAUUAGGGUUCGGUUCCGGAGAGGGAGCCUGAGAAACGGCUACCACAUCUAAGGAAGGCAGCAGGCGCGUAAAUUACCCAAUCCUGAUUCAGGGAGGUAGUGACAAGAAAUAAUAAUCUGGGGACUUCGGUCUUACGGAAUUACAAUGAGAACAAUUUAAAUGACUUAUCGAGGAACAAUU